GCUCUCUUCACUUCCUGCCUCCUUGAAUCUCAAGAGGGGCGGAGCUGCUUUCCUGCAGGCAAUUGGAACCUGGGCAUUUUUGUCACAAUAAAGGGGAGCCUUAUUGGCAUUUGGUGGCGCUGGCCCGCCAUGCUGGGCAUCCUGUAAGGUAGUCCUGGGCCACAAGGGAUUGUCUUAGCAAGCUUUCAGAUGUCCCGUUGGAAGUUCAUGCAGGUGAAUGCGUUGCAUUAAUUCUCAGAGCUAGGACCAGCUUUCUUCUAUGUAUAAAAAUAAAGUUUUUGCAAGUCUCUCUUCUUUUCUUUUCUUCCCACCAUUUUUCCCCUUCCCUUUCUUCUGCUACAGACUCUUGCUGUGUGCUCCAUUUUAUUUACAACGAGUUUUUUUUUUCUUUUGUUUUUUGUUUCUUUAAGAUCCUUCUUUCCUUCUUUUCCUCGGGCUCUUGCUAUGGGCCCCAUGCUGACCUUGAAUUUGUAAUCCUUCUGCCUCCAGUCUCUUCCCAAGAACAGGGAUUGCAUUCACCAUCAUGGCCAGAUGUAGUUUUUACUGCAACAAAAAAUCUAUACAUACAAUAUCCCAGGCACCAUUUGAAACAUUUCUAAGUGAACAACAUCAGUGGCUUUCAUUGCAUUCAGAAUGUUGUGCAACCAUCGUCCCUGCCAAUUUCCAAAUCUUUUCCAUGGCUCCAAACCGAGCUGGUGUAGCCAGGAAGCAGGAACUCCCAUGCCGCCUUCUCUAGCCAGGGUUUCCUCUGAUCUACUUUCGGUCUCCGGGAGCUUGUGUGUUCUCGGUAUUUCAGGUGAGUGGAAGCAGACAGUGUUUGGCCUUUGUUUUGUUGACAGCUGAUGGGAAAGUUGCCAAACCACACUGAGUCCCACGCCUGCUGUUUGAGUCAUCAUGAAAUACGAAGGCACCAGUCUGUGCUAAUGACGGCCUCGAAAUCAAGCAACAUGGCUGUGCAUGCAUUUAACACUGUAUGUUUUGUCAUGUAACUGUGUCCCAACAUCCACAUGCCCAAAUGUGUAUUAUUUUGUAUGCUUCACAUUCUUUCUGAUUCUAAAAAUUAUGUUAGACAGCAUAUUGAUUUAAGUUUAGGAAGGGCGCAUUACAAGAGAUUUAUUACAGAAAGGAACACUGGGUGGGGUGGGCUGAGAUAUAUUCAGCCAUUUCUUUCCUAUAAUCAGUCACAGACAACCAGUCCUGGGAUAUCUGUGGAAAUGAAAUUCUGCCUUGUCUUUGGACACCUACAUGGCCAGUCCACAUUCCUCAAGCAGUAGAUCUUCAAACCACUGGCUCUGUUGACCUUUGGUCACUCCUCGGCUGUUGCCGUCUGCGAGUCUUGACUUUUGUGUCUUCACUGUUGGGCACCGCUGUUACUACCGCUCCUGGCCUACAAUGAGCGAAGAGUGUUCUAGAAGUUUGGUGAGAAGUUCAGUUCUUGACUUGAAGCGGGGCUUUGUGUGGAAGGACUUGGCUCAUCUGAAGGCUAAUUGUCCAUGGAUACCAGAAGAGGGCAUCGAAUUUCUGGAACUGGAGUUACAGACAGUUGUGAACUACCAUGUGGGUUCUGGGAACCCAGCCUGCAUCCCCUGCAAGGAGCAGUCAAUGCUUUUAACCGCUGAGCCAUCUCUUCACUCCCAGAGUUAUAUUUUAAACAUUCUUAAAUCCUCCAAUGAGUCUGAGUCUUUCUACUAUGAGAAACCUAUCCAUCAGAAAAAUGAAGGUGAUACAGAUUUCAGAAGACAGAGUAUCCAUUACCCCUAAUAAUCCAUUAGUCACCCCAGAGAAACAUCUGCAAUGCUGCCCGUUUGGAAAAAUGGGGUCAGCUCUAUUAUUAGACUUUCCCAAGAGAAUCUAUUCCUUGGGGGUUGCCACAGUGAACAUUUAUACAGGA